rnacentral:rRNA from 1 species
CCUACGGGAGGCAGCAGUAGGGAAUCUUCCACAAUGGGCGAAAGCCUGAUGGAGCAACGCCGCGUGGGUGAAGAAGGUCUUCGGAUCGUAAAACCCUGUUGUUAGAGAAGAAAGUGCGUGAGAGUAACUGUUCACGUGUCGACGGUAUCUAACCAGAAAGCCACGGCUAACUACGUGCCAGCAGCCGCGGUAAUACGUAGGUGGCAAGCGUUAACCUGAUUUAUUGGGCGUAAAGGGAGCGCAGGCGGUCUUUUAAGUCUGAUGUGAAAGCCUUCGGCUUAACCGGAGUAGUGCAUUGUAAACUGGGAGACCUGAGUGCAGCAGAGGAAAGUGGAACUCCAUGUGUAGCGGUGAAAUGCGUAGAUAUAUGGAAGAACACCAGUGGCGAAGGCGGCUCUCUGGUCUGUAACUGACGCUGAGGUUCGAAAGCGUGGGUAGCAAACAGGAUUAGAUACCCGAGUAGUC